CUUGCGGGAGGGGCGGUUCCUCUUGCGGGAGGGGCGGUUCCUCUAGCAGGAGGGGCGGUUCCUCUAGCGGGAGGGGAGGUUCCUCUAGCAGGAGGGGAGGUUCCUCUUGCAGGAGGGGCGGUUCCUCUAGCGGGAGGGGAGGUUCCUCUAGCAGGAGGGGAGGUUCCUCUUGCAGGAGGGGCGGUUCCUCUUGCAGGAGGGGCGGUUCCUCUAGCAGGAGGGGCGGUUCCUCUUGCAGGAGGGGCGGUUCCUCUAGCAGGAGGGGAGGUUCCUCUAGCAGGAGGGGCGGUUCCUCUUGCAGGAGGGGCGGUUCCUCUUGCAGGAGGGGCGGUUCCUCUAGCAGGAGGGGCGGUUCCUCUAGCAGGAGGGGCGGUUCCUCUUGCAGGAGGGCGGUUCCUCUAGCGGGAGGGGCGGUUCCUCUCGCAGGAGGGGCGGUUCCUCUAGCAGGAGGGGCGGUUCCUCUAGCAGGAGGGGCGGUUCCUCUAGCAGGAGGGGCGGUUCCUCUUGCAGGAGGGGCGGUUCCUCUUGCGGGAGGGGCGGUUCCUCUAGCAGGCGGAGGAGGGUCGUUAGUGAUUGUCCUCCAGGGAUAAUGUCACCACAGGGGCGGUUCCUCUAGCAGGCGGAG